rnacentral:rRNA from 1 species
AUUGAACGCUGGCGGCAUGCCUUACACAUGCAAGUCGAACGGCAGCGGACCUUCGGGUGCCGGCGAGUGGCGAACGGGUGAGUAAUAUAUCGGAACGUACCUUUCAGUGGGGGAGUAACGUAGCGAAAGUUACGCUAAUACCGCAUAUUCUGUGAGCAGGAAAGCAGGGGAUCGCAAGACCUUGCGCUGAUUGAGCGGCCGAUAUCAGAUUAGCUAGUUGGUGAGGUAAAGGACUCACCAAGGCGACGAUCUGUAGCGGGUCUGAGAGGAUGAUCCGCCACACUGGAACUGAGACACGGUCCAGACUCCUACGGGAGGCAGCAGUGGGGAAUUUUGGACAAUGGGCGCAAGCCUGAUCCAGCCAUGCCGCGUGAGUGAAGAAGGCCU